GCAAUCAGCAGGCUGUACUUUGUGGUAUUAGGCCAUAGGAAUUUCAGGGGUGAUGGAAGGGCUGUUGGAAGUAGUAUUACUGUUGGUAGAAUAAUUUUUAGCAUUGUAAGAGAUUUAGAUUUUGUAAGAAAUUUGAG